rnacentral:misc_RNA from 1 species
UAAGUUGCGGUACGUGGGAGAGCCUAUCUCUGCGCGUGUUCAUGUGUGUCGGGCGCGUGUGUGUGAAUGCCUUGCUGAAUCUACUGCGUCGCCAUCCGGCACACUCACGCACCGAAUCGCGCACGGCCACGAGCAGAAAGGGGGCUUGUGGAGCGUCUGCUGCACACUUGCUCCUCCCUCCUAUUCUUCACGUUUUUGUUUCGUUCGUUCGCUCACAGAUAGAGAGCGGGGAAGUCGCUCAGAGAGGCCCUGGCCGCCAUGUCUCAAGUGCCUCCGCACGACAGCUGUCGCGUUCGGCGACGCCCCCGCCUCCCAUCGACGGGGCCGCAGAGCAUCCGCAGCAGUACGAGACCGUCAUCAAGGCCGCGCACGGAGGCAUCAGAAAAUGCGCCGCCACUGGUGUCGCCAAUCGUGUCGCCGCCUGUCACGCCGGUGGUAACGGCGGUGCGGGAGCGCUGCUCCAACACGCCGCCGCCGGUAGGGUGGCAGUACCCAUCCUGCAGUCGCUGCCUCGUCUGCGGGCAGCUCGGGUGUGAAUCGUGCAGCGUCAAAGUCGACCCAGCCGCCACGAAGCAGAAGCUGGAAAGCCUGCGUCUCAGCACGCCGUACGAGCGCGCAAAGCUCGCCCGCAGCGCUGAUGAGCUGCGCAGCGAAGAGAGCCGUCAGCGAGCGCGGCUCGCGGCGCGGUACGAGUCGUGGCUGGAGGACCUCCGUACGGUCGAGUUGAUUCGACGGCACGCUGUGCGUGUUGUAAUGCACGAGGCCGCGUACCGGCAGCAGCUUUACAAGGAGGAGCUGGCGCAGCGUGCGGCGUAUGUGGCUGCCGCCGAUCAACACAUACUCCUACUUGCUCUGCAAUCGAGCGAGGUGGCUUCUCGUCAUGCGACGCUGGCGCGAGAGCGCGAGGGGUUUGCCCGGUUAUCCCGUCACUACGCCUACGCAACGCAGGUGGUGCGGUUGCACCAACGCGAAGCCACGACACGUGAGGCGUUACGGUACAACGAGUCCUCGCAGUGGCAUCGGCUUCAGGCGCAGGAGGUCGAGUGCCGCAGCCUCAUGGGCGAGCACGCAGCCGAGCAGCACCGGUUCUGCAAGAGCUGCUGGGAGAGUCGAGAGGAGCUCUGCCGCCAGCGCGUCGCUGGGCUGGAGAGCUUGGCUGCGCUGGCCGUUGCCCACCGUGAAAUGCUCUACCAACACGCUCAGCAGCGGUGCAUGCUGCUGGCGUCAGCCGAGCAGGGCAAGCGUGAUGUUCUAGCCGAGGAGGCCGCCACUCGCAUGCGACUUCGUGAAGAAAUGGUGGAAGAGGCGGACUACAUUGAAGAGCGCCACCGCAUCUUCGCGCGCCAACGAGCCACCCUCUGCAAAUCCGAGGCGUUGCAGCGGCAGGGUAUCCGCGAAGCAGCGGAGCGCGGCUACCACACCCUUUUUCUUGACAUGAGGGCGGACGAAGACGUCAUCUACGCCGCCGAGGUGGAGCGAGCCGAUCGUCGUCACUCUCACCUCCUCCUCGCGGUUGAGACUCUUUGCAACAUCCAGCGCGACGAGGACGCCGCUUUCACUGCCCUGAUGAUCAGGGAGCGUGACGAGGCCGCCGGCCGCCGAGUGUGGAUGGCGCAGAAGGCCGAGGCGAGGGCGGCACUAUGGCACCGCUGCGUGCGCGAGAAGGAGUCUGUUCUCGGCGCUGAGGAGUCUCUCGCCCGCGAGGUGUUGCGCAAGGCUGCCGCGAGUGCGGAGGUUGCCGUGGCAGAAGAGAUUGCCGCGAAGGCGCGUGCGCGGGCCGAGUUUUGCGCCUGCGCCGAGAGCGCUGUUGAGACGCUCGCGAGGGAGGAGCGUUGUGCCCGCGUUCGCUUGCUGUCACAAAUGGCGGCGGAUGCAGAGUUAGUGUUGCGCUGGUGUGAAACGAAGCGUCUCGAAAGAUUGGCCUUUGCUGAUAGCGAGGCACCUCUUCGCAGCGUCAUCUGCCGGCAAGAGCAGGACGACUGGCAGCAGCUCUGCAUCGCCUUCGCUCGCACAUGCAAAGCAGUUGAGGAGCGGGCUGCGCUGGAGUACCAGGCUCGCGCCAAGGCAGCGCGCAGCGCUCUUGACGCCAUCGAGCAGGUUGCCUGGGAGGAGGCGCAGGAAUGGAAAUACUUGUGCACUGAGGAAACGGAGCAGCGCUGCCGCGCAAUCGACGCCUUCCACUACCGCUGCCAAGUGGAACUCCUGUACGAGGAGACGCAGCGACGUGCGUUCCUCGCUCGCGAUGAGCUCUCGGGCAGGGCAGCGGUGCGCGCAAAGACGGCACUCUUUGCACGCUACGCAGCAGAGGCGGCCGUCGCCUCCCUCCAAACGCGGCUGUGCGAGGUGAUGGCAUCGGAGGAUAGCGCGCGUGCCUGCCUCUACGAGCACGUCGGUGAGUGGUACGACUGGGUAGCGCGCCAGCAGCGUGAAGAGGAGCUGCGUCUUAUCGAAGUACUGGAGCAGCGCAUUCAGGAGGAGCUGCGGUCUCGUCAGGAGUACAUGCAAGAGGACGAGCGCUUGUACGACCCCGCUGAGUCUCUCGUGUUUGCGCGCGGCGGCGCCGAGGACGAGGGUCAGAGAACAGGGGGUGCGGCGGCGGCAGGCCUGAAGCCGGGGCACACUCACGACCUGCGUGGCGAGCUCGUGCUGCAAACCUUGGGCAACCCGGUCUGCGCUGCCCCACUCUCAGCCGCUGCUGUGGACUUCCUUGUCGCUGUCAUCGACCGCGCCGGGCGUCGCCGCGACGCCGCUCAAGAGCACUUUGCCGUGGCGGAGCGCAACGCCAGGGAGGCCUCCAAGAAGGUCCUGCAGCAUGAGCGCCUGUAUGCGGCCGAGAAGGAGAAGGAGGAAAUGUACCAGCUGUCCUCCUGCCGCGAGACAGAGGAGCGUGAGCGGCGCAUGCAUCAGGAGACACUGGACAAAACGCGCAGUCAACAGGCGAUUGCCGCGGAGAAACGCCGUCUUGCGGAGGUACAGGCGGAGCUGCUGCAGGAGCAGAAGAAGCUGGAUGCGCUCAAGGGGAGCAUCAACAAGCAGUACAACCGAUGACCGCGUGCCUCUCAGUUGCGCUUCUUCUCUCGCGACGUCGUGCCACGUAUAUGCGUCCGCUUUGUGCGGGUUUUCUCGGCUGCUUCUGCCGCCGUGUGUGCGGUGAUACUGCCGUGAUGGGUGUGAUGUUGCUCAGAAUAGCGUCGUCGCCAUAGACGUUGUGCUUUUCGCUUGUUGUGGUUCUGCCCUUCGUGGCUUUCUUUCUUUUCAGAUCGCGCGCGUGAGCCCGUCUCUUCCCUCUCUUCCUUCCCCCUCCCUCUGCCGGCGCUGCCUUCCUCGAUUCCACAUUGCUUUAUGCCUUCUUGCUAACGCCUCCUUCACGAUGAGUAGUACGUUGGCACUGCAGGGCGCGGGUGGAUGUGCAAGAGGGGGUGUGGGGACGGAAGGGCCACAGAGCGCUGCACGAGACCCGACACACGGGCGAGCACGCUGCCUUUGUCAGCGCAAUUUUUUUUGUUGUUGUUCUAGAUACCUUAGAUGCCCUCUUCGUUCUAGUCUUCCUCCUCUGGUCGACCCCUCCACCCCAGCGCCUCCCCGCAAACUUGCACUCUGUUUCUCUGUCUCGCGCGCGCUGACUCAGCACGAUGCCAGCGGUUCCUUUGGGUCUUUGGCGUGCCCUCUCUCUCUGUCCAAUGCAGUCUAGUGCUACGUCGUCUCUGUGGCACUCGUAAAGAGGGAUUCCUUCCCUUCCUUCCGCUCAGCACUUGGGGACCAGAGGAUGGCUGUAGCCGCAGCAGCUCUUGUAUUUCCUUUGGUUCUCCCUCACCUCCCGACAUCCUCGCGCCUACUGCCACUUGCUCUCAUUCCCUCUCCCUUGCUCGCUUUUUGCAACCACAG